AGAGUUUGAUCCUGGCUCAGGAUGAACGCUGGCGGCGUGCCUAACACAUGCAAGUCGAACGGAGAUAUUGCUUGGAAGCUUUUCGGAGUGAAAGAGAAGUAUCUUAGUGGCGGACGGGUGAGUAACGCGUGGGCAACCUGCCUCAUACAGGGGGAUAGCAUCGGGAAACUGGUGGUAAAACCGCAUAAGCGCACGAAGACGCAUGUUUUUGUGUGAAAAGGAGAAAUCUGGUAUGAGAUGGACCCGCGUCUGAUUAGCUAGUUUGAGUGGUAAAAGCACACCAAGGCGACGAUCAGUAGCCGGCCUGAGAGGGUGGACGGCCACAUUGGGACUGAGACACGGCCCAGACUCCUACGGGAGGCAGCAGUGGGGAAUAUUGCACAAUGGAGGGAACUCUGAUGCAGCGACGCCGCGUGAGUGAAGAAGUAAUUCGUUAUGUAAAGCUCUAUCAGCAGGGAAGAAAGUGACGGUACCUGAAAAAGAAGCUCCGGCUAAAUACGUGCCAGCAGCCGCGGUAAUACGUAUGGAGCAAGCGUUAUCCGGAUUUACUGGGUGUAAAGGGAGAGUAGGUGGCAGAGCAAGUCCGAAGUGAAAACCCAAAGCUCAACUAUGGGAAUGCUUUAGAAACUGCUCAGCUAGAGUGCAGGAGAGGCAAGUGGAAUUCUUAGUGUAGCGGUGAAAUGCGUAGAUAUUAGGAGGAACACCAGUGGCGAAGGCGGCUUGCUGGACUGUAACUGACACUGAGGCUCGAAAGCGUGGGGAGCAAACAAAAUUAGAUACCCUGGUAGUCCACGCAGUAAACGA
rnacentral:rRNA from 1 species